UACAGGAGGGUGCGAGCGUUAUCGGAAUACUGGGCGUAAAGCGUGCGUAGACGGUUAUUUAAGUCGGGUGUGAAAGCCCCGGGCUCAACCUGGGAAUUGCAUUCGAAACUGCCUGUCUUGAGUACCGGAGAGGAAAGCGGAAUACCUGGUGUAGAGGUGAAAUUCGUAGAUAUCAGGUGGAACACCAGUGGCGAAGGCGGCUUUCUGGACGGUAACUGACGCUGAGGCGCGAAAGCGUGGGGAGCAAACAGG
rnacentral:rRNA from 1 species